ACACUGCCAUGCUCCCAGCCAUGACGAUACGGGACUAAACCUCUAAAACUCCACAGUGUUUGGUAUCCAGAGAUUCCCAGUGUGGUUCCAUCCUGUUCACAGUCCCUCACUGACAGACGUCAAAGCAGGAACUCAAGGCAGGAACCUGAUAGCAGGAACUGAAGCCGAGACUACAGAGGAACACUAUUUACUGGCUUGAUCCUCGUGGCUUUCUCAGGCUGCUUACAUAUCAUACCACCCAGGAUCACCAGCCUAGGGUGGCACCACCCACAGUGUGUUGGCUCUCUCAAAUCAAUAAAAUGAAAUAAAAUAAAAUAAAUUGUACCACA